rnacentral:lncRNA from 1 species
CUGCCCUUGCCUUUGAUGAGUGUGGAUCCCCCAUCUGGGGUGGUUAUCAAGGGGGUCCCAUUAGUCAUCACCUGCAAGGCCCCCGGAGAUGCCAGCGAGUGGAGAUUUCAUUUCUACAAGGACGGAGCCGAGAUUAUCCCCGGGGACAUGGGGUCUGAGAUCAGCACAAGGGAGGCCAGCACUGACUCUAUGAUGCUCACUUUCCCACGGGCUGGUCCUGCGACCACAGGGGAAUUCACUUGCGGCUAUGAGGAGAACGUGAGCGGGUGGUGGAUCCCGGCCCCCAGGAGUCAGGCUGUGAACGUCACCAUGAAGGAUCCCCUGCCCUUGCCUUUGAUGAGUGUGGAUCCCCCAUCUGGGGUGGUUAUCAAGGGGGUCCCAUUAGUCAUCACCUGCAAGGCCCCCGGAGAUGCCAGCGAGUGGAGAUUUCAUUUCUACAAGGACGGAGCCGAGAUUAUCCCCGGGGACAUGGGGUCUGAGAUCAGCACAAGGGAGGCCAGCACUGACUCUAUGAUGCUCACUUUCCCACGGGCUGGUCCUGCGACCACAGGGGAAUUCACUUGCGGCUAUGAGGAGAACGUGAGCGGGUGGUGGAUCCCGGCCCCCAGGAGUCAGGCUGUGAACGUCACCAUGAAGGCUAUCUCGUCUCUGCCCAUCCCCCUGGUGGCUGGGUGCGCUGGUGCUGCCGUGGGUCUAGUUCUGCUGCUGGUUCUCAUCUAUCUCUACAACAGGAAGAAGAAAGGUUCCAAGUGGGAGCGGAGGAGGAGAGCCCAGAGCGAUGAUUUUAUCAGCAGUUACUCACCUAUGCCUCUAUCAAUGAUCAACCCAGACACUCUUUAACAGCCCCCUCGGCUCCUUGCCUCCAUGUCCCCUGCAACAUCAUAGGACCAAUGAAGAUCUGUGAAGCUUACCACACUCACCGUGCAUAUCCUCCCAAGGUCUCCUUCACGCUGGUGGGCACACACCAGGCCUCCAGCCGAAAACAUCCCUGGCAAAACGGAGAUGUGAUUGUGUCUCUUUGCCUGCUGCAGAGAUACUGGGACUGUUUGAAAGGAAGGAAGAAGUUUCUAUUCUCCUAACUUCUCAGCAAAUCUCCACUUUACCAGGAACAUUCAAGCUGAUGUAAAUUUCUGUAAAUUUCCUGUCUCCUGUUUGUCAUUAAACCCCCCCUUUAACCUCCU